rnacentral:rRNA from 1 species
AGAGUUUGAUCAUGGCUCAGAUUGAAGAACGCUGGCAGGCCUAACACAUGCAAGUCGAGCGAGAAAGCACUUCGGUGUGAGUAGAGCGGCGGACGGGUGAGUAACGCGUAGGAAUUUGCCCAGUAGUGGGGGACAACAUGUGGAAACGCAUGCUAAUACCGCAUACGCCCUAUGGGGAAAGCAGGGGAUCUUCGGGGACCUUGCGCUAUUGGAGAAGCCUGCGUCGGAUUAGCUAGUUGGUGGGGUAAAGGCCCACCAAGGCGACGAUCCGUAGCUGGUCUGAGAGGAUGAUCAGCCACACUGGGACUGAGACACGGCCCAGACUCCUACGGGAGGCAGCAGUGGGGAAUAUUGGGCAAUGGGGGCAACCCUGAUCCAGCAAUGCCGCGUGUGUGAAGAAGGCCUGCGGGUUGUAAAGCACUUUCAAUUGGGAAGAAAGAUUUAGAGUUAAUACCUCUUAAUAUUGACGUUACCAAUAGAAGAAGCACCGGCUAACUCUGUGCCAGCAGCCGCGGUAAUACAGAGGGUGCGAGCGUUAAUCGGAAUUACUGGGCGUAAAGAGUACGUAGGUGGUUAAAUCAGUCGGAUGUGAAAGCCCCAGGCUUAACUUGGGAAUUGCAUUCGAUACUGUUUGACUAGAGUACAGUAGAGAGAAGCGGAAUUCCUAGUGUAGCGGUGAAAUGCGUAGAUAUUCUGAGGAACACCAGUGGCGAAGGCGGCCCCCUGGAUUGAUACUGACACUGAGGUGCGAAAGCGUGGGUAGCAAACAGGAUUAGAUACCCUGGUAGUCCACGCCGUAAACGAUGUCAACUAGUUGUUGGGGAAAUUUUGGCUUUUAGUAACGUAGCUAACGCGAUAAGUUGACCGCCUGGGGAGUACGGCCGCAAGGUUAAAACUCAAAUGAAUUGACGGGGGCCCGCACAAGCCGUGGAGCAUGUGGUUUAACUCGAUUCAACGCGAAGAACCUUACCAGCCCUUGACAUCCUGUGAACUUUCUUGAAAUAGAUUGGUGCCUUCGGGAACACAGUGACAGGUGCUGCAUGGCUGUCGUCAGCUCGUGUCGUGAGAUGUUGGGUUAAGUCCCGCAACGAGCGCAACCCUUGUCCUUAGUUGCCAGCACGUAAUGGUAGGAACUCUAAGGAGACUGCCGGUGACAAACCGGAGGAAGGUGGGGAUGACGUCAAGUCAUCAUGGCCCUUAUGGGCAGGGCUACACACGUGCUACAAUGGGUGGUACAGAGGGAAGCUAACCCGCGAGGGGUUGCCAAUCUCAGAAAACCAUCCGUAGUCCGGAUUGCAGUCUGCAACUCGGCUGCAUGAAGUCGGAAUCGCUAGUAAUCGCGGAUCAGAAUGCCGCGGUGAAUACGUUCCCGGGCCUUGUACACACCGCCCGUCACACCAUGGGAGUGGGCUGUACCAGAAGUAGGUAGUCUAACCGCAAGGAGGACGCUUACCACGGUAUGGUUCAUGACUGGGGUGAAGUCGUAACAA